GUUCCUCAUUUAGAACAAAAUAUCAGGAUACUGAACAAUAGUAGCUUCUGUUGAGCAGGGCCCAUUCGGAGAUAAGUGGGCCAGGCAGGGAGCCAGAAUCAAGGGCAAGCCAUACUGUCAUAAUAAUCAAUUAAUUCAGACCUGAGGGUCUUAACAAAGAGGCUACUGUGGAGGAGGCCAAACGGCUAAAGGCUCGGGUUAAUGCCUGAGGCCACCAGGAAUAGUCAAGUUCUCGUGACACGGGGCGGGAUUGCGCAAUGGGUCCUUGGAGGAGGAAUUAGCGACUUGGAGCCUUCCGCAUGUGAAAUAUUUCAACGGACAUCAGCUUCAGUCAACACGGUCAACGUCGAAGGGUUAGAAGUGAUGUAUUUUAAAAGAUGAGGAGAGAUUGUGCACCAGCUGGUUGCAGAAAUGCAACUUUACUCUUUUUUUUUUUUUUUUACUGACAGCUUUAAAAAGUAAAUAGCCUUUGAUUCCCUAAGAACAGGGGUCAGCAACCUGCGGCUCCGGAGCUGCAUGCGGCUCUUUGAGCCCUCUGUUGUGGCUCCCUGUCAGGUGAUCCCACCACUGGCUGGCCCCGUCCCUCACCCUCCCCUCCCAGUCAUUCCUCACCUGGCUUGAGAAGCCUAGGAAGAAGGUGACGCUGGCAAACCACUUCUGAUCGUUUGAGUUCAUUGCAAAGAUUAAGAUGGAUUUGAAGACACACAUGAAGACAUGCAAAACCCCAAAGCUUGAGAUUUGCUUAAGAUGUCUUCAGCCCUCCUUGGAGCAGAAAGGCCAAGUACACAAUAAAACUAGAAUCAUUGGGCUGGAAGGGAUCAUAGAGAUCUUCUAGUCCAACCCCCCUGUUUAAAGCAGUAGCCUGUCAACUUGCAAAGCUUUCAAGUUGCCAUGAGCAGGAGGGAGGGAGAACUGAAGUGAAUUCCAUACAUUCUUUCUGACCGCAAUCAGAAGGAGGGUGUUAGGUUUCACAGCCAGCCAAAGUGGUUAAUUGGAGAAUGUGAUUUAUGACAUGGCCAGAGAGGAGGGGAGAGACAGGGUCAUAGGGGAAUGUAAAUCUACGUGGGAUCAGUCCUAACUGUAUCCAAGUAUUGCCGGAAUGUUGCUCCUAAUAAAUGAAUAUAUUUCCUUUGAA